rnacentral:tRNA from 1 species
GGCCACCUGGCUGAGUCAGUCAGUAGAGCGUGGGACUUUUGAUCUCAGGGUUGUGAGUUCAAGACCCACAGUAGUCA